GACGAACGCUGGCGGCGUGCCUAAUACAUGCAAGUCGAGCGGAAGUUGAAGAGCUUGCUCUUCAACUUUAGCGGCGGACGGGUGAGUAACACGUGGGCAACCUGCCCUGCAGAUCGGGAUAACUCCGGGAAACCGGUGCUAAUACCGAAUAGUUUUCGCCACCUCCUGGUGGCGUAAGGAAAGACGGUUUCGGCUGUCACUGCAGGAUGGGCCCGCGGCGCAUUAGCUAGUUGGUGGGGUAACGGCCCACCAAGGCGACGAUGCGUAGCCGACCUGAGAGGGUGAUCGGCCACGCUGGGACUGAGACACGGCCCAGACUCCUACGGGAGGCAGCAGUAGGGAAUCUUCCGCAAUGGACGAAAGUCUGACGGAGCAACGCCGCGUGAGUGACGAAGGUUUUCGGAUCGUAAAACUCUGUUGUGAGGGAAGAACAAGUACCACUUAACUACUGGUACCUUGACGGUGCCUCACCAGAAAGCCACGGCUAACUACGUGCCAGCCGCCGCCGUAACAC
rnacentral:rRNA from 1 species